CCUACGGGAGGCUGCAGUGGGGAAUAUUGCACAAUGGGGGAAACCCUGAUGCAGCGACGCCGCGUGAGUGAAGAAGUAAUUCGUUAUGUAAAGCUCUAUCAGCAGGGAAGAAAAUGACGGUACCUGAGUAAGAAGCCCCGGCUAACUACGUGCCAGCAGCCGCGGUAAUACGUAGGGGGCAAGCGUGAUCCGGAUUUACUGGGUGGAAAGGGAGCGUAGACGGCAGUGCAAGCCUGGAGUGAAAGGCGGGGGCUCAACCCCCGGACUGCUCUGGAAACUGUACGGCUGGAGUGCAGGAGAGGUAAGUGGAAUUCCGAGUGUAGCGGUGAAAUGCGUAGAUAUUAGGAGGAACACCAGUGGCGAAGGCGGCUUACUGGACUGUAACUGACGUUGAGGCUCGAAAGCGUGGGGAGCAAACAGGAUUAGAUACCCGUGUAGUC
rnacentral:rRNA from 1 species